rnacentral:rRNA from 1 species
UAACUUAGCGGCGGACGGGUGAGUAACACGUAGGCAACCUGCCCUCAAGACUGGGAUAACUACCGGAAACGGUAGCUAAUACCGGAUAAUUUCUUUCCUCUCCUGAAGAGAGAAUGAAAGGCGGAGCAAUCUGCCACUUGGGGAUGGGCCUGCGGCGCAUUAGCUAGUUGGUGGGGUAACGGCUCACCAAGGCGACGAUGCGUAGCCGACCUGAGAGGGUGAACGGCCACACUGGGACUGAGACACGGCCCAGACUCCUACGGGAGGCAGCAGUAGGGAAUCUUCCGCAAUGGGCGAAAGCCUGACGGAGCAACGCCGCGUGAGUGAUGAAGGUUUUCGGAUCGUAAAGCUCUGUUGCCAGGGAAGAACGUUCCGGUAGAGUAACUGCUACCGGAGUGACGGUACCUGAGAAGAAAGCCCCGGCUA